rnacentral:sRNA from 1 species
GAAUAGCCCCGAUUGAAGCGGUAUCCUUUUACACAGCUUCUAGUCUUUAAAAGGUUGGAAGCUUUAUAAAAGAUAAAGCGGAAAGCGGGACUACUA